rnacentral:lncRNA from 1 species
UCCCAAACUCUAAACCCAAAAAUCCUAAAAACAUAAAAUAAAAUGCCAAACCCUAAUCUCUAAAACCCUAAAAUGCUAAAAACCCUAAAUAUUAAACCCUAAAACCCUAAACACAAAAACCCUAAAACUCUAAAACCUAAAUUCUAAAUUGUAAACCUUAAAAUCUAAACCCUACACCCUAAAUCCUGAAAUCCUAAAAUCCUAAAACCCUAAAUCCUAAACUCUAAAACCCAAAACCUAAAAGCCCAAAUCCUAAAACCCCAAAACCCAAAACCCCAAAAUCCUAAAACCCAAAAUCAUAAACCCUAAGACCUUAAACCCUAAAAUCCUAAAGUCCAAAACCCUAAACUCUAAAUCCUAAACCCUAAACCCUAAAACCCUAGACCCU